rnacentral:rRNA from 1 species
GUGAACGCUGGCGGUAGGCCUAACACAUGCAAGUCGAACGGCAGCACAGUAAGAGCUUGCUCUUACGGGUGGCGAGUGGCGGACGGGUGAGGAAUACAUCGGAAUCUACUUUUUCGUGGGGGAUAACGUAGGGAAACUUACGCUAAUACCGCAUACGACCUACGGGUGAAAGCAGGGGAUCUUCGGACCUUGCGCGAUUGAAUGAGCCGAUGUCGGAUUAGCUAGUUGGCGGGGUAAAGGCCCACCAAGGCGACGAUCCGUAGCUGGUCUGAGAGGAUGAUCAGCCACACUGGAACUGAGACACGGUCCAGACUCCUACGGGAGGCAGCAGUGGGGAAUAUUGGACAAUGGGCGCAAGCCUGAUCCAGCCAUACCGCGUGGGGGAAGAAGGCCUUCGGGUUGUAAAGCCCUUUUGUUGGGAAAGAAAAGCAGCAGGUUAAUACCCCGCUGUUCUGACGGUACCCAAAGAAUAAGCACCGGCUAACUUCGUG